CCUGGAGCCUCUUCCAGUGCCUAAAGUGGCUACGAAAGAGCUGGAGAGGGACUUUUCAGAAGUGACGGGGCAAGAGGAAAUGGCUUCCAGCUGCCAGAGGGCUGAGCCUAGAUUUGGGUGAGUCACGUGCCUGCAGGUUCUGAGGCUUCCUGGAAGCUCCAGCUGCUGCAAGACUUGGGAUGAACUGCAGGAGUGUGCAGUGCUGCUGGUACAAGGAGGUCUUUUCAUUCAGCAUCCUUUUGGCUCACCGACUUUGGAGUUGCACCUUUUCUCUUACGUUUAAGAGUUCCAGUUUGUGGUGAUAUUUAAGAAAUAAAGCUGAACUCGGCCAAAACACAGAAGAAUUGAAGAAGCCCACUCAUCAGAAGGGAAGGAUAUAGCCUGACAAGUCUACAGAGUAAGGAAGUUGCAUUCAGGUAGAAGAAUAUUUGAUGUUGGAAGAGGUCUCUGGAGAUCAUCUCAUCCAACAUCCCUGCUCAGAGGAGGGUAAAUUGGAGCAGGUUGCCCAGGAUCGUGUCCAGAUACUGCCUGUCUCUUUCACUGGACACCAUGGAGAAGAGUCUGGCCUUGUCCUUUCCUCCUCCAAUCCAUUUAUAAAAAUAGAGACUGAGAACAUCAAACCCUGCCACAGCCUCCAGGUGACAUAGUACUGUUCCUGCAACUGCUGCUCUUCAGCCAAGGUGACCCCCAGUUGCAGAGGAUGACUGAAGGAAUGCAAAUUAAUCGAAACAAGCUAUACUGCAGGUGGCUUAAUGUGCCCAUAGGCUCCUUUUUGAGGAGUGGGAGCUAAUAAAGUUUGUGUGAAAACCAAGAGGAGACGCCCUGCUCCCUUUGGGAUCACGCCGUGCUGCUCGGUACGGACAGUCGGGCACAGAACAUUGGCAUGGAACGUGCCCCUGGAACUGGAGCUACUUGGCCUGCUAAAGACAAAAAAAGCGAACGGCAGGAGAACUGAAAUGAGAUGUGGACGCAGAAGAAGCAAACAGCAGCACAGGGCUGGGAGAGCAGCUUUCAAAGGCUGAGUCUGCAGUUGGGGGAAUGAAGGUGCCAAAACAUCAUGACCAUUUGUGAUUCCCUUCAUUGGUGUACACCUGGACAUCCUCUACCAUUUAAAAGAAUCUGCUGAAGUACUCCCAAACCAUGACACUAAGAAUGCAAGAAGUGAGGAGAUGCAAGAAGGCUCUCGCUGGAGGUUCAAAGAGCUGCUCAUGUAAAGGAUCAAUAGAUCCAGCACUGCAUUUAGUGUCAUACUAAAUGCUGGACCAGGCAAUUAUUUCGAUUCAUCACGGUGGAACAGCUUGCAGGAAGAUGCACAUCUGCAGUGGUGAUUCCAGGUGUGCUGUGACAUUUCACCCUGGACAAGUUGCAAGUUCUCCAGUUGUAACUCUGCAAAGCUGUGCUUAAUCUGCCUGGACUAAUGAAACCACCUGGUGGGAAAACAUCAGCUUCAUCUGAAGAUCUGUGAAAAGCUGAAGCACAGAGCCUGGGGCCAGGCUCUCCACAGCUUCCAGUUGCCACCAGGACUCCCAAGCAUCCUGUUCUUGAUCUUCCAGAACUGAAAGCCUGGGAGGGCUGGCUGGAAGAAUCCUGCCUUUGCUGAUCUCCAGCAGCCAGGGUGGCUCUGCUGGAUCCUCCGGGGGAUGUGCUCUGCACGGGGGCAGGAGUGGGACUGGCACUGCAGGGCUGGGCUGCUGGCAUCACCCAGCCAGAAGAGGAACGAGCUGCCAAGGGCAGCACCUGCAGUCCUGACUGCUCUGGGAUUUCCUUGGCUCUUUGCUGUAUGCAACGGAGGUGAUGUCUGGGUUCCUGAGGAGCAGAACUGGCUCUUCAGCCACCUAGGAUGAAAACCUGUCCCUGCUAGGAGUUCUUGGAACACCUGAACGAGUGAAGCUCACCUGCCAGAGCUGUCUGGAUGCUGCAGAUGAGCAAAGUUUUCCUGGGAAGUUCUCCCCCAGAGAAAAAAGGCAGGAGAGAGGGAUGCUCUCCCUCCAGAGCAAAGGUAUGGGAGCCUUUUUCUGGGAGGCCAGACGAAGCUGGCU